rnacentral:rRNA from 1 species
UUUAAAGAGAGUUUGAUCCUGGCUCAGGACGAACGCUGGCGGCGUGCCUAAUACAUGCAAGUCGAACGAACGGAGGAAGAGCUUGCUCUUCCAAUGUUAGUGGCGGACGGGUGAGUAACACGUGGGCAACCUGCCUGUAAGUUGGGGAUAACUCCGGGAAACCGGGGCUAAUACCGAAUG